rnacentral:rRNA from 1 species
UACGUAGGAGGCGAGCGUUGUCCGGAAUUACUGGGUGUAAAGCGCGUGUAGGCGGUGAGUUAAGUCUGUUGUGAAAGCGCCCGGCUCAACCGGGCAGAGUCAAUGGAAACUGGCGGGCUGGAGUAUGGCAGAGGGGGGUGGAAUUCCGCGUGUAGCAGUGAAAUGCGUAGAGAUGCGGAGGAACACCGAUGGCGAAGGCAGCCCCCUGGGCCAAUACUGACGCUCAGGCACGAAAGCGUGGGGAGCAAACAGG